GACGAACGCUGGCGGCGUGCUUAACACAUGCAAGUCGAACGAAGUGGCGAACGGGUGAGUAACGCGUAAUCAACCUGCCCUUCAGAGGGGGACAACAGUUGGAAACGACUGCUAAUACCGCAUACUGAAGGAGGGGAUUGCGUCUGAUUAGUCAGUUGGGGGGGUAACGGCCCACCAAGGCGAAGAUCAGUAGCCGGUCUGGAGAGAGGAACGGCCACAUUGGGACUGGGACACGGCCCAGACUCCUACGGGAGGCAGCAGGGGGGAAACUUCCGCAAUGGACGAAAGUCUGACGGAGCAACGCCGCGUGAGUGAUGACGGCCUUCGGGUUGUAAAGCUCUGUUAAUCGGGACGCGGUACCGGAAUAGAAAGCCACGGCUAACUACGUGCCAGCAGCCGCGGUAAUUC
rnacentral:rRNA from 1 species